GAUGAACGCUGGCGGCGUGCCUAAUACAUGCAAGUCGAGCGAACGGACGAGAAGCUUGUUUCUCUGAUGUUAGCGGCGGACGGGUGAGUAACACGUGGAUAACCUACCUAUAAGACUGGGAUAACUUCGGGAAACCGGAGCUAAUACCGGAUAAUAUUUUGAACCGCAUGGUUCAAAAGUGAAAGACGGUCUUGCUGUCACUUAUAGAUGGAUCCGCGCUGCAUUAGCUAGUUGGUAAGGUAACGGCUUACCAAGGCAACGAUGCAUAGCCGACCUGAGAGGGUGAUCGGCCACACUGGAACUGAGACACGGUCCAGACUCCUACGGGAGGCAGCAGUAGGGAAUCUUCCGCAAUGGGCGAAAGCCUGACGGAGCAACGCCGCGUGAGUGAUGAACGUCUUCGGAUCGUAAAACUCUGUUAUUAGGGAAGAACAUAUGUGUAAGUAACUGUGCACAUCUUGACGGUACCUAAUCAGAAAGCCACGGCUAACUACGUG
rnacentral:rRNA from 1 species